rnacentral:sRNA from 1 species
CAGAUUAUUACCAUCAUUCCCUAGGAAUGGUGGGUGUCACUGCGUAGACAGCAUUUACAACCCGCCCAAGAGGCGGGUUUU